GGAGGGGCGGUGGCUGGGGCUAGCCUUCGCCCGAGCGUGGAGACUUGGUUUUCUCUCUGCGGGGUAGUGAGGAUGCUGUGGGCUCAGGUCACGAUGGAAUCACUGGGAUGCAAGUAUCCACCUGCAGCGUUGGCUGGACCCGGGGUUACGGUCUGAGACCACCAUUUCCCCUUGCCUUUCAACGUCAUCAGCAAGAAAAGCUGUGGGAGGCAGAGCUAGGCGCUAUCUCCCAUCAACGCCCAUCUACACAGACCCAGUGACUUUGGUUGGCACAACGCUCUGGAGCUCUUUGAACAGGGUGAAAUCCUCCCACAAACUUUGAGGCUCAGGGAGGAAGCUCACGGUUGUAAAUGGUGGAGAGUCAUAGCAGGUCCAACAGGUGUUCAGAAACUGGGGGUGGUGUUUACUUUAGGUGGUAUCGAGGAAUGGGCCAGAAAUUCUUUCCACGGGUCUGUUUGCUUGAAGCUCAUCUUCUGGGGGCUUAUAUUGAAAUCUAGAGCCCGUGCAACUUGAAAAACAGCAUAUUUAAUACUUUGAAACAAGUAACAUUUUCUCUUUUUUUGGCAAAACCCAGGAGAAUAAAGGACGUAUUAGGAGGGAAAGAAGUGGUGUUACCCUUCCCUGGAAAAGAGGCAACUUAAAAUGCAAACACCAAAAACCUCAAAAAAUAACUUGAAACUUCGAAAAUGCCCCGAAGACUCUUCUAGGAUGUGACCUAGGAUGAGGGAACAGAAAAACACCUUCUCUUUGUUGGUUGGGCAGGUGGGAGAGCUGGUUUUGUUUUUCCACUCUGCACCAUACAGUGUCCAUGGAAGCAAGGAGAUAGGAUCCAAUGCUUUCUUUAGGUGGCAGGCCACAGUCACAUGACAUACUGUGCCUGGUGCAGAAUGCUCAGAGCUUGGUUCUGGCUUGGAUUAAUGUUAGGAUGAAUGUGUGGGUGAAGUAGGCCAGCCAUGAGAGGAAUCUUUGGGAUCAUCUAAUCUAGUCUUUACGGGUAAAGAAAAUGAGACCCCAAGAAAAGAUAGAGUUCUUGAGGGUCCAACAGUGACUAUGUGACAGUCAGAAUAGGAGUCGGGCCUCAUUACUCCUGGCCAGGUGACCUCCCCAAACACCACAGCACAGAAGGUAUUUGAGUCUAAGAUAGUGUUAGCAUCAGUGGAUAGUUGGAAAGAAGUGAGUUGGAAUGAUGUGGCUUUGCUUGAGCGCCUGACUGCAGGGAGCUAUACAGAGCACACUGGAGGUACAGGGUCAGGACCUGAAGCAAGAAUGGGACACUUGAGCUGGGCAGUGGUGGCGCACGCCUUUAAUCCCAGCACUUGGGAGGCAGAGGCAGGCAGAUCUCUGUGGGUUCCAGGAUAGCCAGAGCUGUUCCACAGAGAGACUCUGUCUCAGAAAAUAAAGCACACAAGAGAGAGGGACAUGUUCUGGUCAGCUAGUGCCGAGUUAGGGCUUGUGUUUCUUGUUCCUUCUCAUGCUAGCUUCCAACGUUUGGUAGAGACCUGAGGACAGGCAGGAAUACUCUGCACUUGGCAAUGUCAUUCCUUUUUAAAGUUUGUGUUGGCACUCAGGUUCAAAGUCACCCUUUAUUUUCUCCUCUCUCCCACCAAAAAUAAACAGAAGAGCUUGAGUGCUAUGAGUCUCCCACAGAAGCCUGGCAGGUUUGCUGACACUGAACUUGAGCUCUUACCACAAGCACAGUGGACCCCAGAGUUACGAACUGACAACAGACUUAUUCCAGUACCUUCCAUGAAGUUAAACUGCCUAUUGUUCACUCUCCAAGAGUCUGAACGCAGCAGACAGAAAUAGCCAGUGUGAAAGUUUUGUUUUUUUUUUUUUUUAAAUAAAUAUACUCAUCCAUUGGAGGCAAGAAGUGGACGUGGACCUCAUCUCAGCUUCCUUCUGAAGUGUGCUUGGCUGGCUAGAAGAAGGCUGUGGCGGGCAGGGUGGGCAUGGGGUGUGCUGCUUGUGCUGUGUUCCUGCCUCCACACGUUCCUAGCCUGGCUGUUUCCUUUGCUGGUAGCAGACCUGAGCCACGAGAGGCUGCACACAGACUGUGGAUGGAUUAAAACACGACCUCCCCAGAAGCUCCACCAUGCUGUGAGGGGACUCUGCCACAUGGUCCUGAUGCUGUAGAAUGAGUUGCUCCACCAUACCAUCCCUACUGUGAUGAACUGAAAUGGUGGUAGCAGCAAUGUCAGCAGAAGGUGAACAUCCCUAGGCCAUCAGUCAGGACCAACAUCUGAGGACAUGACUGUUGCUUAUGAGCCUGGAGAAAGGGAGAGACAUUGGUGUCUCCUAUUUGGAGUCACAGAAGACUUGAGAGAGGCUGAAGUGGGAUUUACACGGAUUGGAUUUGCAUUGGCUAUAAGGCCUUGAACGUCCACAGAGGCUGUAGGAUCUUCACUGAAUGGGCAAACUGGAAAGGAAACACUGUCUGCAAUCUAGAAGUGAAAACUGAGACCAAUGGAGGAAAGGGGACUCAAUCAAAAGCAAGUAACCAUAAAGUGCCUCUCUGGCCCUGAGCCCUAUGUUUCAGAACUUGUGGUCCAGGUCCUUCUCACUCCUAACUCCAGAUACACAGGGAAAUGAGAAGAACCCAGAUGAAAGGAAGCCAGAAAGAUGACUUUUACCUGGCUUCUCUCUAACAUUCUGGUGCUGUGGGAUGGUCUGUAUGUCAAAUGUGUUGCUGAUUGGUCAAUGAAUAAAUCACUGAUUGGCAGUGGCCAGGCAGGAAGUAUAGGCGGGACUAACAGGAAAAUUGAGAGAACAGGAAGCUGGAGAGGGAGACACUGCGAGCCGCCAUCAGGAUAAGGAAGAUGUAAAGUACCGGUAAGCCACAAGCCACGUGGCAAGGUAUAGAUUAAUAGAAAUGGAUUAAUUUAAGCUGUAAGAACAGUUAGCAAGAAGCCUGCCACGGCCAUACAGUUUGAAACCAAUAUAUAAGUCUCUGUGUUUAUUUGAUCGGGUUUAAGCGGCUUGGGACUGGCGGGUGAGAGAGAUUUGUCCUGACUGUGGGCCAGGCAGGAAAACUCUAGCAACAUUCUGGAGUCCUGUCUUCGAUCCCUUUGUGGGCUUUUCCUCUCCAUGACAGGAGCAGAGAGCUAGAAUACUGUUAUACCAGUAAAUUCAUCCCUGUCCACAAAGUCAAGCUCCACAACCCAAGUCCUGGGGUUUUCUCCUACAUACUGAUGGCCAAAGGUAGAACAGAUGAUGCAGGAUCAAGUCAUGGAUGGCUUUGUCUAAUUCAGUGGUUCUCGUUGGAGGGAGGGGAUGAUUUUGUACACAUUUAGCAAUGUAUGGAGCUGUUACUAGUUUUCAUGACUUAGGAGAGUAUGGGGAGAUGCUUCUGGAAUCCAGUAUAGAGACCAGGGAUAGUAUUAAAUACCCUUAAGUACAUAGGGCAUUUAUCCAUGACUUAGAAUUAUACAGCCGCAACUGGUAAUGUCCUCCUAAACUAAUUGUGAUCAACGCAAUGGGAGCUUCACUAAGCCUGUUGUACCUUGGUACACACCAAGCCCACAGUCUCAGUACCAGCCACUUAAUGAAGAGCUCAUAUUCAUGUAUCUGGGAUUCCAUGGAGAGAUUCCCUUGGCUGGAUUCUGGCCCAGUUGGCUGCAUUCUAGCUGGGUUCACCUCUGCUUGAGAGUGUGAGAAAAUCAACAGAAGCUCACAGGUUUUGAUGUCUGACAUUGGCAAGCUCCUUCUAAUUAUUUGUCCAUUUUUGCUAAUAUCUACUUUGAAUGUGUUUACUUAACAUGUUUUGUUUCCCUUCUAAAAUAAAACAUAUUUAAUGUUUGAUCAACAAUACCCAAUUCUCCCACCAUGUACCAUCUUCAAAAUUUCUUACACAUCUUAAAAAGACUAUGGUGAUAUUCUUAGCUCAUGAUCAGUCUCCCUGCCAACCAGCACUGGCAAGUUAAUCAACCUCCGAGCUCUGCCCUCCUCACAUACAGAAUGGAGCUAAUGAUUCCUGUGUUGUAACAUGGUAGAUAUUGCUUAAGACAGGGCAUGCAAGUGUACUUAGUGGAGAGUCCCUUAUAAUUGGCUGGGUUUUCCUUUAAAUGUAUUUGGGAUUUUGUUUUAAUCAGAUAGGGUAAGAUGACAAAUACAAAAGGAACUUGAAAGAAGAACAUAUUGCAGUUCCCAAGAGGACAGAGAUGCUAAACCACCCAAGGCCACAGGAGGAAGCACCUAGGUUAGUAAGAAAGCAAAAGGUGCAAGGCCAGAGUUAGUCCUCACUGGGGUAUUUAUGAGGAGGGAUAGGCAAGGAAAGUCAAGUUUGAGUAAAUUUACAUAACACUGGGGGCUCUAGGAUAAAAGGUGGUGUCUAGUUGCUGAGUGCCUGGCUCAGGGCUGACCUCAGGCAUGAGGAGUGCUGCCUUAGAGGUGAUUAGGUAUAUGUGCUUUGGGUUGGUUGGUUUGUGUAUGAAGGAUGUUGUGCUGGUUGUUUUUUUAUCAACUUGAUACAAACCUAGACAUAUCUGGUGUAGUAGUUUGAGUGAAAAUGGCCCUAUAGGCUCAUAGGGACUGGCACUAUUGGGAAGUAUGGCCUUGUUGGAGGAAGUGUGUUACUUGGGGGCAGGUUUUAGGUCCCAGAUGCCAGGCCAGUGGCUCAAUCUCUUUCUGCUGCCUGUUCAUCCAAUUGUAGAACUCUCAGUUCCUUCUCCAGCACAAUGUCUGCCCACAUACCUCCAUGCUUCCUGCCAUGAUAAUAGACUAAACCUCUGAACUGUGAGCCAGGCCCAAUAAAUGUUUCCCUUUAUAAAAGUUGCCAUAGUCAUGGUGUCUCUUCACAGCAAUAAAACCCUAACUAAGACAUCUGGUAAGAGGGACUGUUAACUGAGAAAAUGCCUUCAUAGGAUUGGCCUACAUGCAUUUUGAUUGAUGUUGGAGAGCCCAACUUACUGUGGGUGGUGCCACCCCUAGGGAUGUGGUCCUGUAUGGUAUAAGAAAGCGGUCUUAGCCAGGUGGUGGCAGCACACACCUUUAAUCACAGCACUCAGGAGGCAGAGGCAGGCAGAUUUCUGUGAGUUUGAGGCCAGCCUGGUCUAUGGAACAAGUUCCAGGACAGCCAGAGCUGCACAGAGAAACCAUAUCUUGAAAAACAAAACAAAAAAACUACCACCACCACCAGCACCAGCACCACCACCAGCACCAGCACCAGCACCAGCAGCAUCAAACAACAACAGCAACAGCAACAACAACAAAAAAGAAAGCAAUCUGAGCAAGCCAGGAAACAGCACUCCUCCAUGGCCUCUUCAUCGGUUCUUCUGCAUCAGAACCUCCAGGUUCCUGCCUUGAGUUCCUGCUCUGACAUCCCUGGAUAAUGGACUCCAAGCUAUAAGCUGAAAUAAAUCCCUUUCUCCCCAUGUUGCUUUUGGUCAUGUGUUUUAUCGUUGUUAUUUAUUUGGGGUGCAAGAGAAACCAUGAGGUACAACAGAACCCACUGCAAGAGUUUUUUUAGGGGAGGGUAAAGAGACGGUGUGCAAUAUGCCUACUAGAAGCUACCAGUGUAGAAGAAGGGGUGAGGGAAUGGGUGGAAUCUGCUUUUGUGGGUCCCCCUGAGCAUGAGCAUAUGGACUUAGGUAGCUAUGCCACGCAUGCACAUGGAUUAUGUGAUCAUGCUGCUGGAAGAUUACGAGAUCACUCGGCGCUUGUGUUACAUAGCACGUAAGGCCCUGGGAUGACUAACCAUUCCACCUGACUGAUGCACAGCGCAUGCGUGGCCAUGUAGCUAAGGAGUGGCUAGGGAUUCUAACAAUCAUAGCAGUAGAAACCCUAACUACGAUGUUUUUAGGCCAGUCUUAACUAUCUCUAGGAAUCUUUCCCUCAAAGGGACAGGCUCUCUGGCAUCAGCAAAACCCCAGGAUGUUAAAACUUAAUAAAACACAGCGGAUAAAAAAGGUGGCGUACAUGGUUGGUACGAAUGGCCUAGGGUCAUUAACACCAUUGUCCCUUGCCAGCUGAAGUGAAUGUGGUGACUUUUAAUGGGCUGACUGCUCCUUUGUGUUUCUCCUGGAAGCCUUCUCCCUCUGCCUGCCUUUCUUUUACACCGCAGUCUUCAAUACUCAAACUUCUAUCACCCUGAGCACUGGUGUUCACAGAGAGGUGAGAAAGAUCACAGAUUUCUGCUCUCCAAAGCCCCGGGACUGCUGUGUAUUUCUAUUUCAUGCUGGUAGAAUGAAGCUAAUUUCACCUUCUCAGCUGCUCUGGUUCCAAGUGAGCAGCCAGAAGCAGCAUGCAGCAGUGCAGGAACCUGCUGCUGUAGUUAGAAAUCAAUUGAGAGUGCACAGCUUCCCGAGUAAAGCUGCCCUUGGUGCAGGAGGAAGGGAAGGAGGGGCUGGGGACCAGACUCCCUUGCAAGUGGCCUCCAUGCUGGGCCUGUGCUUCCCAAGGCUGGCUCUCAGCACCACAGAACAGUCUUCUGUGAAUUUGGAGGCCUCUUGGGAUUGAAUUCAAUAAAGGUCAAUAAUGCCAGCUGACAGCCAUUUGAGGAAGCCUGGGUGAGUGGAGGAUGGAGAGGAAGGAAUUAUUUUUUCUUUGGAGAUUAUUAGAAUACUCAAGGUGCUGGGAAAGAGUGCUGCAGCCACUGGGAAUUUUUUAAAGCUGCAAUUAACAAAUAGGUCUACUUGAAUAGGAAAAGGUGAGGAAUGGUUAUAAUCCUAGCACUAGGGAUGCUGAAGCAGGAGGACCACAAAUUUGAGGCCAACCUGAGCUAUAGUAAGUUCAAGGCUAGUAAGGAGUACAUAGAAAGACCCUGUCUAAAAACAAACAAACAAACAAACAAAAAAUAACAAUGACAAUGAAGUCAUGUUAUUGCCUGAGUGGAUGUCCAUGGGGGCAAUGGACUUCAGGACUGUGUGACGCUGAACUUGAUGAAGUCAUCAAAGACAUCUGUUUUUCCUCCUCCGGGUGUGUGUGUGUGUGUGUGUGUGUGUGUGUGUGUGUGUGUGUGUGUGUUCAUAAAUAUGCAGGUGUAUGUGCAUGAACAUUUGUGAGGGCCAGUUGUUGAUAUCAGGUGUCUUCCUCAAUUGCUCUCUAUCUUUUUUGAGACAGGAUCUUUCACUGAAUCUGGAGUUAGCCCAUUCUAUUAGACUGGCUGGCCAGGGAGCCUCAGGGAUCCACCUGUUUUUUACUUCCUUGUACAGGGAUUGCAGUAUACUGCUGCACACAGAAUUAUUACUAUUUUUCACAUCAAAACUUAAUUUUUAUUUAAUUAACUCCUUAAUAUAGGAACCUGUUAGAACUGGUUUAAGGAACAUCUGAAAAAUUAAACUUAUUAUAUAUAGAUAUUCACUCUAGUACAGAAAUGUUAAUUUAAGCCUGGCAUGAUGGUGUUUAACUGUCAUUCCAGCAGUUGGGAGGUAGAGACAAGAGAAUUACAAGUUCGAGGCCAGCCUCAGCUACAUAGUGAACACUAGGCCAACAUGGACUGCUGUGGUGAUAUUGUGUUCCCCAAUAUAUUGUGUACCCUAAUAAACUUAUCUGGGGUCAGAGAACAGAAGAGCCACUAGAUAUAGAAGCCAGAAAAUGGUGGCACACAUGCCUUUAAUCCUAGCAUUCUGAAGGCAGAGAUCCAUCUGGAUCUCUGUGAGUUCAAAGCCACACUGGAAACAGCCAGGCAUGGUGACACACACGUUUAAUCCCAGAAAGUGAUGGCAGGAAGCAGAAAGGUAUAUAAAGCAUGAGGACCAAGAACUAGAGUCCGGUUAAGCUUUUAGGCUUUUGAGCAGCAGUUCAGCUGAGAUCCAUUCCGAUGAGGACAUAGAGGCUUCCAGUCUGAGGAAACAGGAUCAGCUGAGGAAUUGACAAGGUAAGGUUAGCUGUGGCCUGUUCUAUCUCUGUCUCUGAUCUUUCAGUGUUCACCCCAAUACCUGGCUCCGGGUUUGUUUUUAUUAAUAAGACCUUUUAACUAUUCGUGCUACAGGCUGCAUAGUGAGAUCCUGUCCCAAAAGAUCAAGAAAAAGGCUCACGAAUAAGCUGCAAUCUUUGGGGUUUCAUUCCAGGUUGGGAAAGAUCAGGUUUGAUCAAGGAAGAGCCCUGAAAAUCCUAACUACAGACAUGGGAAAAUAAACCUACAUGUGAAGUAUAUUUUACCUGCUCAAACAUAAAACAAAAAAUUAUCUUUGACUAGCUUGUGUACAAUACAUAAUUUAUAUUAAUACAGAUACGUAUGUUACCUUUAAAAGUUUAUAUAUUUUCAGAACAAGAGGAGCAGACACCAAUAAAAAACAGAUGGCCCAGAUGAUCCAACAUUUCAAUACACCUCUGUCACAGUUUCCUCCGAGUUCUGCAUCCAAAACAGUUUCAGUGCUGCUCAUUGAGAAGGAUCAGUCGUACAAAAUACCCUAGUCAGGACUUGACCAUAAUUCUAAAUUUUCUCAGUGUCCCAAUAAGAUUACCAGUGCCCCCAAUCAACAGGAAGUUAUAGCUAGAGUUUUCCUGCCUGGCCCACAGUCAGGACAAAUCUCUCUCACCUGCCAGUCCCACAGCCACUCAGACCCAACCAAGUAAACACAGAGACUUAUAUUGCUUACAAACUGUAUGGCUGUAGCAGGCUUCUUGCUAACUGUUCUUACAGCUUAAAUUAAUCCAUUUCUAUAAAUCUAUACCUUGCCACUUGGCUUGUGGCUUACCGGCAUCUUCACAUGCUGUUUGUCAUCGUGGCGGCUGGCAGUGUCUCUCUGACUCAGCCUUCCACUUCCCAGCUUUAUUCUCCUUCUUGUCCCGCCUAUACUUCCUGCCUGGCCACUGGCCAAUCAGUGAUUUAUUUAUUGACCAAUCAGCAACACACUUGACAUACAGACCAUUCCACAGCAGGAAGUAAUCUAGAAAACUAUGCCCAAAUUCCCAAAAUAUUGUUUAUGAAUGUCUGUUUUUAUUUAAGGGGGAUUUGUUAUAAAUUGUUAAUGGUCAUAGUCAAUCUCUUUCUAAAGAAGAAGGGGGGAUAUGAUAUAGAAAUGGGGAAAGGGUAGAUUAUUGGAUCUACUUUAAUACAAAAAGCAACUGUUAAUCUCAAAAUAUUUUACAUUGGUAUGGAUUUUGGUUUAUUGAUACAAAUUUAAAGUUUUGUUAUAUGUGUAUUUCUACUCUUGUUUAAGAUAUUAUGUUUAUGCAACUCAUUUAAAAUUGUAGUGUAUAAUUAAGUAAUACAGAUUAAUAGUCAUUUAUAAUAGUCAAACUUAUAGUCAUGUUAGUUAGGUUUUCUAGGUAUAUAAAGAUAUUUCAGAUAAGCAAUCUUCAAAUACUUCAAAGACCUAUAGAACAUGGCAUUUAAAAUGUUUUAAGAGCUUAGAAUUUUCUGGACAGCGAGACAUGUCUGCUUCUGGCAGCACCAAUGACUUCAAAGAGGGUCAUGGGCAUAUCCUUAUUCCUUAUGGAGUUUGCUUUCCAUGUGGCAAGGCUAGCCAUUUGGGCAAGAAGCUGCUCUUGCCUGGACUACUUGACAGUAUGUUGCAUAAACUGGACAUGCAGGACCCAUAGGAAAAUGACUGCUGAACUUUGCCAACACAAGGUGGGAUGGUCCUUCAGGGUUCCUGCUUCACAGAAGAAACUGCCAGAUAUUCUGCAGGACAGAGGAAAGUGACUGAUGAACUUUGCCAAUAUAAGGCAGGACAGUCCUUCAAAUUUCCUACUUCACUGAAAAGUCUUCCAGAUACUCUAAGCCUAUAGGCUGAAGAUGGAUGCCCCAAUGUUACAGAAGAACUUUGGGUGACUGUCCAGGCAGCCAGAUGUCUCUGUCGUUCUAGAGUUUUGGAAAUUGCUUGCAAUGCACUUCCUGUUUACUCAGAUAAUAUUAUCCUUCUGGGGUCUUUGAUGGACUUGAAGACUAGAUAGUUGUUAUAAUUUUCCUUAUGAUAAAAGGUAAAUUAGAUUUGAAACUUGAGACUCACAAAGAUAGGAUAGAUGAUAGAGUAUUUUCUCUAGUUUUGCCAAAUAUAAAUAAACCGGAUGAUGUACCUGUAAUUCUUACUUGGUAACUGUUUUUGUUGUAUAUAAUUUUAUUGUGUUAAGGUUAAAACCUUCCUUUUUAAUUAGACAGAAAGGGGGAAAUGGUGUGGAUUAUGCUCAUUGUUAAUAAUAAAGCUGACUGGCCUAUAGCUGGGCAGGAAGAGAUUGAGUGCAAGAGCCAGACACAGAGGAAGCAAGAUGAGAAUGUUGUGCUGAGAAAAGGUGCCAAGCCAUGUGGCUAAACAUAGAUAAGAAUUAUGAGUUAAUUUAAGUGUAUGAGCUAGGUAGUAAAAAGCCUGAGCUACUGGCUGAACAUUUAUAAGUAAUAUUAAGCUUCUGAGUGAUUAUUCAGGAACUGGCAGGUGGGGGAGAUUCUUUGGAAAUUUCACAUCAUGCACCCCAAUCCCACUCACCUCCAAGUCCCUCCACAUCUGCCCCUCACCCCUGCAGAAUGCCCCCCCCAGAUUAAUUAAAAACAAAACAAGAAAAAAAACACCACUUUACUUCUCUGUCUUUCCAACACCUCUUUGUUUAUCCUAGUGGUAUCUGGAGCUGCAGUGUGUCACAAAGUAUACCCUUUCGUCCAAUCAGCCCACCUGGAAAAUGUUCAUUGCAGUGGGUCAUUGGUCUGGUUCAAGGCCUCUGGCACACCAUCAUCACUGGAUCCUUACCAAAACUCCUCUUGGAUAUUUUGCUGUUGCCUCAAGUUAUGGAGAUCCUGUGGGUAUCUUUCUGAAGGACCAGUCCCUUCAUACACUCCAGCAGGUCGCAGAUGGGGUAGAUGUUAGGGUGGUCCAACCCAAGGUCCAGGAUGUGGUCUGGGUGGUAGCUGAGCUAGUCAAGUCUGGGCCACUGGGACUGUCCCCUCUGGUGAGGAGUAGAGUCAGCUCUCUUAGGCCAUGCUAUCUGGGCCAACUUUCCCACACCAAUCGUGAGCAGUUGGGCCAUCUCUCCCUAGUGCAGAGACCAGCUCUCCUGCUGCAGCGUCUGCUGAGGGGCAGGACCAACUAUCACAGGGCCAGUGAGGGGCAAGUCUGCCUCAGAUUUCAACAUGCAUGGUCCUAUUACCCUCUGUGGUAACAUGGGCUGUGGACAUCUUCACAGACCCAGCUGCAGCAAGAACACAGACCCAGACAUGGACCAUGGCAGCAGCCUGGGCCUGCCUGGACAAUACCACAUGGGGCAGCACAGGCCACCCAGAUUGGCAUGGCCCCAGUGGGGGCACAGCCCUCAGACACCAUAAUGGCCAUAGGUUGCGGCCUAACUCCUGGCAUCUGUAUGGCCUUUGGUGGCACCAUAGGCCAUGGACAUCAACAUAGAACUGUGGUGAUGUAUUGUGUACCCUAAUAAAAUUUGCCUGAAGAGCAGGGAACAGAACAAGCCAUCAGAUUAAGCAUAGAUGCCAGGCGGUGGUGGCACACACCCUUAAUCCUAGCACUCCAGAGGCAGAGAUCUGUCUGGAUCUCUGUGAGUUCAAAGCCACCCUGGACUACAUGAGAUUGACUCAGUCUAGGAGAGAAAUAGAGCCAGGCAGUGGUGGUAUACACCUUUAAUCCCAGCACUUGUGAUUUCAUGUCUUUGCUCCCAGUACUUGGGAGGCACAUGUGCCUUUAAUCCCAGCAUUAAGAAGGAAGUGAUAUGGCUGGGUGGAGAAAGGUAUAUAAAGGCACCA